GACAGGUUAAAACUUGAAUCAAAAUCGCUUUCUGAAUAAUGGAUUAAAAUUCAUUUACAAAAAUUUUAUUAGAAAGACCUUGUAAAAAAGUUUUACCCAACAAAACUGUAGGAUGUGUAAUUAUUGAAUAAUAAAAAAUUGAAGUACGUAAACUAUUUAAAAAUGAGUUAUUGUUCUUUGAACUUCUUUUUAAAGACUAUUCCACUUUAGUUGAAAACAAAUUCAGAAAGCUCUAAAAUUAUAAUGCAAGUAAUAUUAGUUCACUAUAAUAUUCCUUGCAUUUUGUUUUUCUAAUAACGUAAAUUUCCUUUUUUAAUAAACUCAUGAACUCUUAAAACAGUUUUGGCAUUUAUAAUUUUUUUUAGCAAAGAGAAAAGUUAAUUUAUAGUUAAAAAAAUUAACUGGAAAAUUUUAAUGUCUUAACUGAUGAAAAUAAAAUACAACUAAUUCCAUGUAAAAAUUAAUCAUUUUUCAUGUAAAAAUUAAAGAAGACAGAAAUCAGUGGAUAUGAAACAAUUUUAAGUAUCGAAGAACGUGCAUACUAACUUGAAGAAUGAAGUGCUUGUUGAUGUUAUU